GGGAAGUGAGUAAGAUGGUGCUUUCAGCUGAUUAACAGGAGACCAGGCCCAGGGGUACCAGGCAGACAGAGAACAUGGAGAUCGGGAUUCAUGACUACAACCCCAAAAUACGGCACUUCUGCCUGUGUGGAAACAACAGAAGCAGGAAGAUUACUCUCAUUUUUCUCUGGCCUUUUUCCCUUGAAGCAGACUAUAAAGAAGAAUCUGACCUUCCUCUGAAGGAAACCUUCAUUCCAGACAUACCCUCCCUAUAUCCAAAGAACAUCUUUAUCUUUAAAGACACAGAGAUGUCAAGAAGAAUCUGAACAAACAGGCUUUGCCAGAUCCCCCAGUUUACUAAUAUUGAACCAUACUCUUUUGUUCUUCAAUCAUACUUCUGCAUGAUGUCCAUAAAAAUACACAGUUUUCCCCAUUCCUUUUGGGUAUUUAUUCCCGAAAGCUUCUGUGUCAUGUAAAACUUACAUUAAAUAAAUUUGUAUGCUUUU
rnacentral:lncRNA from 10 species